rnacentral:rRNA from 1 species
UACAGAGGGUGCGAGCGUUGUUCGGAAUUAUUGGGCGUAAAGGGCGCGUAGGCGGUGCGGUAAGUCACCUGUGAAAUCUCCUGGCUCAACUGGGAGCUUGCAGGCGAAACUGCCGUGCUGGAGUGUGGGAGAGGUGCGUGGAAUUCCUGGUGUAGCGGUGAAAUGCGUAGAUAUCAGGAGGAACACCUGUGGCGAAAGCGGCGCACUGGACCACUUCUGACGCUGAGGCGCGAAAGCUAGGGGAGCAAACAGG